UGGCUUAUAAGUAUCAGGUGGAAGUCCCGAAUUCAAAGCGGGAAUUGCCUGGUAGACUGUAGGGCUUGAGUGUGGGAGAGGAUAGCGGAAUUCCCGGUGUAGCGGUGAAAUGCGUAGAGAUCGGGAGGAACACCAGUGGCGAAGGCGGCUAUCUGGACCAAGACUGACACUGAGGCGCGAAAGCGUGGGUAGCAAACAGGAUUAGAUACCCUGGUAGUCCACGCUGUAAACGAUGGAUGCUAGGUGUAGGAGGUAUCGACCCCUUCUGUGCCGCAGUUAACGUAAUAAGCAUCCCGCCUGGGGAGUACGGCCGCAAGGUUGAAACUCAAAGGAAUUGACGGGACCCCGCACAAGCAGCGGAGCAUGUGGUUUAAUUCGACGCAACGCGAAGAACCUUACCAGGUCUUGACAUCGAAGGAAUGCGCAGAGAUGCGCAGUGCCCGCAAGGGAGCCUGAAGACAGGUGGUGCAUGGUUGUCGUCAGCUCGUGUCGUGAGAUGUUGGGUUAAGUCCCGCAACGAGCGCAACCCUUGCCGUCAGUUACUAACGGGUAAAGCCGAGGACUCUGACGGGACUGCCGUGGACAACACGGAGGAAGGUGGGGAUGACGUCAAAUCAUCAUGCCCCUUAUGACCUGGGCUACACACGUGCUACAAUGGCCGGAACAAAGAGGUACGAAUACGCAAGUAAGAGUGGAUCUCAAAAACCGGUCUCAGUUCAGAUUGUGGGCUGCAACCCGCCCACAUGAAGUCGGAGUUGCUAGUAAUCGCGAAUCAGCAUGUCGCGGUGAAUACGUUCCCGGGGUUUGUACACACCGCCCGUCACACCAUGGGAGUUGGGAGCGCCCGAAGCGGGUGAGAUAACCGCAAGGGGUCAGCCUCGA
rnacentral:rRNA from 1 species